rnacentral:rRNA from 1 species
GACGAACGCUGGCGGCGUGCCUAAUACAUGCAAGUAGAACGCUGAAGAGAGGAGCUUGCUCUUCUUGGAUGAGUUGCGAACGGGUGAGUAACGCGUAGGUAACCUGCCUUGUAGCGGGGGAUAACUAUUGGAAACGAUAGCUAAUACCGCAUAACAAUGGAUGACACAUGUCAUUUAUUUGAAAGGGGCAAUUGCUCCACUACAAGAUGGACCUGCGUUGUAUUAGCUAGUAGGUGAGGUAAUGGCUCACCUAGGCGACGAUACAUAGCCGACCUGAGAGGGGGAUCGGCCAAACUGGGACUGAGACACGGCCCAGACUCCUACGGGAGGCAGCAGUAGGGAAUCUUCGGCAAUGGGGGCAACCCUGACCGAGCAACGCCGCGUGAGUGAAGAAGGGUUUCGGAUCGUAAAGCUCUGUUGUAAGUCAAGAACGGGUGUGAGAGUGGAAAGUUCACACUGUGACGGUAGCUUACCAGAAAGGGACGGCUAACUACGUG